rnacentral:rRNA from 1 species
AUUGAACGCUGGCGGGAGGCCUAACACAUGCCAGUCAAACGAGUGGCGCACGUUUGAGUGGUGUCUGUGAAACUGCCUGAUGGAUGGGUCUAACUACUGGAAACGGUAGAUAGUACCGCAUAUCAUCAGAUGUGCCCAGAUGGGAUUAUCUUGUUGGUGGGGUAACGGCUCACCAAGGCGACGAUCCCUAGCUGGUCUGAGAGGAUGACCAGCCAAACUGGACCUAGGACACGGUUCAGACUCCUGCGGGAGGCAGAAGUGGGGAAUAUUGAACAAUGGGAGCAAGCCUGAUGCAGCCAUGCCCGGUGUAUGAAGAAGGACUUCGGGGUGUAAAGGACUUUCAGAGCGGAGGCGUUACCCGCAGAACAAGCACCGGCUAACUAAGUGACAGCAGCCGCGGUAAUAC